rnacentral:tRNA from 1 species
AGCCCCGGAGCCCUUUUGGGCUCUUCCUCAAACUUGCAUUUUGAUGUACGUCACUUCGAGGCUU